rnacentral:piRNA from 1 species
AGGGCUGUCACAGGAACAAAUGGAAGUGU